rnacentral:rRNA from 1 species
GGCGGUAAUACCAGAUAAUGUCCUUCGGGACCAAAGAUUUAUCGGCAUUGGAGCGGCCUAUCUCCUAUCAGCUUGUUGGUGAGGUAACGGCUCACCAAGGCAACGACGGGUAGCGGGACUGAGAGGUUGGCCCGCCACAUCGGGACUGAGACACUGCCCGGACCUCCACGGAGGGCUGCAGUAACGGAUAUUGGGCAAUGGGCGAAAGCCUGACCCAGCAAUGCCGCGUGCAGGAUGAAGCCCCUAGGGGUGUAAACUGCUGUCAGGGGUCAGAAAGCUGGUUUCGGCCAGUUGAUCAACCCCAGAGGAAGUCACGGCUAACUUCGUGCCAGCAGCCGCGGUAAUACGAAGGUGGCAAGCGUUAUUCGGAAUCAUUGGGCUUAAAGGGCACGCAGGCGGAACAGUGUGUGUUGUGUGAAAUCCCCCGGCUUAACCGGGGAAUUGCACAGCAAACUGCUGUUCUUGAGGCAGGUAGGGGUGCAUGGAACUCUUGGUGGAGCGGUGGAAUGCGUAGAUAUCAAGAGGAACGCCAGAGGUGAAGACGGUGCACUGGGCCUGUCCUGACGCUGAGGUGCGAAAGCGUGGGGAGCGAACGGGAUUAGAUACCCCGGUAGUCCACGCCGUAAACGAUGUCUACUAGGUCGUGGGUGUUCUGACACAUUCACGGCCGGAGCAGAAGUGUUUAGUAGACCGCCUGGGGAGUACGGCCGCAAGGUUAAAACUCAAAUGAAUUGACGGGGGCUCACACAAGCGGUGGAGCAUGUGGAUUAAUUCGAAGCAACGCGCAGAACCUUACCUGGGUUUGACAUGCUUGUAUGCCUUCUCUGAAAGGAGUUAGGCUGCCUUCGGGUGAAACUUGCACAGGUGCUGCAUGGCUGUCGUCAGCUCGUGUCGUGAGUUGUCGGGUUAAGUCCUUUAACGAGCGAAACCCUUGCCGUUAGUUGCCAGCGAGUAAUGUCGGGGACUCUAACGGGACUGCCGGUGUUAAACCGGAGGAAGGUGGGGAUGACGUCAAGUCCUCAUGGCCUUUAUGCCCAGGGCUUCACACGUGCUACAAUGGCAAUUACAGAGCGACGCGAUACCGCGAGGUGGAGCAAAUCGCAAAAAAAUUGCCUCAGUUCGGAUUGCAGGCUGGCAAUUCGCCUGCAUGAAGUCGGAAUCGCUAGUAAUCGCGUAUCAGCA